CGCCUCCGUCUCCAAGAAGGACACAGGGACACAAGCGCCUGGAGUCCGCAGCCCCGCCCCUACACAGCCCGGCUCUCCGGGCGCGUGGGCUCUCCCCACACCCUAAGCCAGGCUUAGGAAAGGUCCAGAGCUUAGGCGGGGAGAAUGGAGAGGCGGGGUCGGGGCAGGGCCUGGCGGGGAGGAGGGACUGAGGCGAGAGGCGGGGCUAAGGGCGGGAAGAGAGACUAGCUUACGCCAGCCUGGAGCGGGGGACUGGGCGGGGCGGGGCGGAGUGAGAGGGCAGCAACGCCGGGAAGAGGAGCGCGAGACCAGCGUGGAAGGUGUUGGAGGCCCUGCGGAGCCGAGAGCCAGGGCCGCGCUUGAAAGGAGGGGCCGUAGGCGGAGCUCCAGGGAGGAAGAGCCAAGCUGGAGAGAGGCCUGGGGCAGGCAGGGCUGAAGAGAAGCCCAGAAGGGAGGAAAGAUUGAAGCGGGGCUGAAGGAGGCGGGCCCGGAAGCUGAGCAGGAAGGAGGCGGCCGAGAAGUGACCACGCUGGGGAGGAGCCGGGGAGCGGCCGACAGAAAGAGGAUCCCGCAGCGUUCCAGCCUGCACGGAACAGCCGGAGAGAUCUUCCGAGAGCACACGAGGACUGCUGCCCUUCAGCCCUCAACUAUAGACUUCCACGAAGGCUGGGAACCGUCCAGACAGCCUCUCCGUGCGUCAUCCGACCUGCGGUUCCGUGGUUGUAUUUUUCACAGUGCUUUCCCCAGAACCUGCCUAAGAGGCGACAUUCCCAAGAACGGGGCAGAGUUUGAAUUGAUCCUGGGUCUGCCAGACCAGCAGUUAAAAGUCUGCUUGUGUUGUUCCAUGACUUCUGUCUCUCAAUUAAAAAGAAAGAAACCAAAUGAAACAGGUGGUGACACUGAGACCAAAGCCAGGGACGUUCUUCCCCCAACUCUUAACAACUGGUUUCUUCUUAUGCCUCAGUUAUCUGAUUGCAAUACCACCUCAGGCCUUUCCUGAACUUCCUGCCAAAAGGUAUUAUCUAAUUUGGCCUCGUGUUCAUUUCCUUCAUGGCUUUGUCAUUUAUCUGUUUUUGUGUAUUUGUCAACCUCCCCUUCCAGAAAGUAAGUUCCAUGAGACCAAGAAUCUUUGACUGUUGUGUACAUCUGUUACCAGUCCUAGUGCAAUAUCUGACAUUGACCUAGUGUUCAAUAAAAUUUGAGUAAGUGAA